GAAUUAGGGUUUGAUAUCGGAGAGGGAGCCUGAAAAACGGCUACCACUUCUACGGAAGGCAGCAGGCGCGUAAAUUACCCAAUCCCAAUUCGGGGAGGUAGUGACAAGAAAUAAUAACUCGGGUAGUGCAAACUAUUACGAGAUUAAAAUGAGGACAAUGUAAAUAUCUUAGCGAGGAACAAUGAGAGGACAAGUCUGGUGCCAGCACCCGCGGUAAUUCCAGCUCUUAUAGUGUAUAUUAAAGUUGUUGCAGUUAAAAAGCUCGUAGUCGAUCAUCUAGUAUUCAGCCGUUUGGCUUCGGUCAGGCGGCGCGAGUGCUAUCUGCUCGAGAACUUCGUCUACCUUAACUGGUCGGCGAUGCUGAUCGGGCACUUUCCUGAGAAAAAAAUUAGAGUGUUCAAAGCAGGUCAACGCCUUGAAUAUUACAGCUUGGAAUAAUAGAAUAAGACUGAAGUCUCUUUUAUUGGUUAUGAGCUUUAGUAAUGGUUAAUAGAAACAGUCGGGGGUAUUAGUAUUUAAUUGUCAGAGGUGAAAUUCUAUGAUUUAUUAAAGACUAACUUAUGCGAAAGCAUUUGCCAAGGAUGUUUUCAAUUGAUCAAGAACGAAAGUUAGGGGAUCAAAGACGAUCAGAUACCGUCCUAGUCUUAACUAUAAACGAUUCCGACUAAGGAUCGGAAGGGUUAAAACAGCCCUUUCGGCACUUUAUGAGAAAUCAAAGUCUUUGGGUUCUGGGGGAAGUAUGGACACAAGUCUGAAACUUAAAGGAAUUGACGGAAGGGCACACCAGGUGUGGAGCCUGCGGCUUAAUUUGACCCAACACGGGGAAACUUACUAGGGCAAGACUAAGGUUGGAUUGACAGAAUGAGAGCUCUUUCUUGAUUCUUAGGGUGGUGGUGCAUGGCCGUUCUUAGUUGGUGGAGUGAUUUGUCUGGUUAAUUCCGUUAACGAACGAGACCUUAACCUGCUAAACUAGGAGGCUUUUUCCCAAAAGUUUUCCUUCUUAGAGGGACUAAGUGUGCAAACACAUGGAAGUUUGAGGCAAUAACAGGUCUGUGAUGCCCCUAGACGUCCUAGGCCGCACGCGCGCUACAAUGACACGUUCAACGAGUUUCUUCCUGACUCUGACGAGCUCGGGUAAUCUUCAUAGUACGUGUCGUGCUUUGGGAUAGUCCUUUGCAAUUAUAGGACUUAAACUAGGAAUACCUAGUAUAGGUAAGUCAUCAGCUUGCCUAGAUUAUGUCCCUGCCCUUUGUACACACCGCCCGUCGCUCCUACCGAUUUUGAGUGAUUAGGUAAACCUUCUGGAUCAGAGCAUUCUUCAAGGGUGCACUGAGAAGUUAAGUAAAUCAUUAUCACUUAGAGGAAGGAGAAGUCGUAACAAGGUU
rnacentral:rRNA from 1 species